GAUGAACGCUGGCGGCGUGCUUGAUACAUGCAAGUCGAACGGAGAGUGUAGCAAUAUACUUUUAGUGGCGAACGGGUGAGUAACGCGUUGGUGACCUGCCCCGAAGCGAGGGAUAACAGUUCGAAAGAACUGCUAAUACCUCAUGUGAUCACCGGUUUUAGAAUCUGGUGAUUAAAGGUGAAAAUCACUUCGGGAGGGGCCUGCGUCCCAUCAGCUAGUUGGUAAGGUAAUGGCUUACCAAGGCGAUGACGGGUAGGGGACCUGAGAGGGUGGCCCCCCACAAUGGAACUGAAACACGGUCCAUACACCUACGGGUGGCAGCAGUAGGGAAUAUUGCAAAUGGGCGAAAGCCUGAUGUAGCAACGCCGCGUGUGCGAUGAAGGUCUUCGGAUUGUAAAGCAACUUUUUGGAGGGAUGAGGAAGGACGGUACCUGCAGAAUAAGUCUCGGUUAACUACGUG
rnacentral:rRNA from 1 species